rfam:Mus musculus chromosome 7, GRC primary reference assembly.
GUGGCUUAGUGGUUAAGAGCACUGACUGCUGUUGCAGAGGUCCUGAGUUCAAAUCCCAGC